AUCCAGGAAGAUAGCGGCAAUAACAGGUCUGUGAUGCCCUUAGAUGUCCUGGGCCGCACGCGCGCUACACUGAUGCAUUCAACGAGCUUAUAACCUUGGCCGAGAGGCCUGGGCAAUCUUGUUAACGUGCAUCGUGAUAGGGAUAGAUUAUUGAAAUUAUUAAUCUUGAACGAGGAAUUCCUAGUAAACGCAGAUCAUCAAUCUGCAUUGAUUACGUCCCUGCCCUUUGUACACACCGCCCGUCGCACCUACCGAUUGGAUGGUCCGGUGAAGCCUCGGGAUUGUGGUUUGGCUGCUUUAUUGUGGCCGUACCGCGAGAACUUGUCUAAACCUUAUCAUCUAGAGGAAGGUGAAGUCGUAACAAGGUUUCCGUA
rnacentral:rRNA from 16 species